rnacentral:rRNA from 1 species
AUGGAGUACGAAGGCGUGGAGGCUCGGGACGAUGGCGCCAUGGAGUUCACCAAGAUGACGCCAAUGUCAAUAGCAUCAACCUGGUGCUGCAAGGAUCAUGACGGGGAGCUCACAAGAAGGAUGCCCGCCAUCCACUUCGUCAUGAUGGAGCUAGACGAUGGAGGCGUGGUGCCCAUUGAGGAUGCCGCCGACAUCUACUUCGUCAAGCUGGAGCCCGAAGGCACGGAGCACGUAGGGAUGGUGCCGCGUGCCGCGGAGGAUGGCGAGACGGAGCUCGCUAGGAUGACGCCCAUCAUCUUCUUCAUCAAGUCGGCGCCAUUGGAGGACAAAGGCGUGGAGGCUCACAACGACGCCGCCACCGUGCCACUUUGGAUGGCGGCGCGGAGCUCGCAAAGACGUCGCCCAGCGCCAACACCCGGUAUCGCGGAGAAUUGCGGCGUGGAGCUCGCAAGGAGGACACCAUCAAUGUCAACAUCAUCAAGUUGGACCGAAGGCAUGGAGCUCGCGGGACAUCACCACCAAGUCUACCUCGUCAAGAUGGAGCCCACGACACGGAGCCAAGAAGAUAACACACACCCUUGGUGCCGUCCGUGA